rnacentral:rRNA from 1 species
UACGUAGGUCCCGAGCGUUGUCCGGAUUUAUUGGGCGUAAAGCGAGCGCAGGUGGUUUAUUAAGUCUGGUGUAAAAGGCAGUGGCUCAACCAUUGUAUGCAUUGGAAACUGGUAGACUUGAGUGCAGGAGAGGAGAGUGGAAUUCCAUGUGUAGCGGUGAAAUGCGUAGAUAUUAGGAGGAACACCAGUGGCGAAGGCGGCCUGCUGGACUGCAACUGACGUUGAGGCUCGAAGGCGUGGGGAGCAAACAGG